rnacentral:rRNA from 1 species
GACAGAGGGUGCAAACGUUGUUCGGAAUUACUGGGCGUAAAGCGUGUGUAGGCGGCCACGCAAGUCAGGUGUGAAAGCCCCGGGCUCAACCCGGGAAGUGCACUUGAAACUGCAUGGCUCGAGUAUCGGAGAGGUUGGUGGAAUUCUCGGUGUAGAGGUGAAAUUCGUAGAUAUCAGGAGGAACACCAAUUGCGAAGGCAGCUCGCUGGGACGUAACUGACGCUGAGACGCGAAAGCGUGGGGAGCAAACAGG